rnacentral:rRNA from 1 species
GACGAACGCUGGCGGCGUGCUUAACACAUGCAAGUCGAACGGAAAGGCCCUGCUUUUGUGGGGUGCUCGAGUGGCGAACGGGUGAGUAACACGUGAGUAACCUGCCCUUGACUUUGGGAUAACUUCAGGAAACUGGGGCUAAUACCGGAUAGGAGCUCCUGCUGCAUGGUGGGGGUUGGAAAGUUUCGGCGGUUGGGGAUGGACUCGCGGCUUAUCAGCUUGUUGGUGGGGUAGUGGCUUACCAAGGCUUUGACGGGUAGCCGGCCUGAGAGGGUGAACGGCCACAUUGGGACUGAGAUACGGCCCAGACUCCAACGGGAGGCAGCAGUGGGGAAUAUUGCACAAUGGGGGGAAGCCUGAUGCGGAAACGCCGCGUGCGGGAUGAAGGCCUUCGGGUUGUAAACCGCUUUCGCCUGUGACGAAGCGUGAGUGACGGUAAUGGGUGAAGAAGCACCGGCUAACUACGUG